UGGGGAAUAUUGCACAAUGGGCGCAAGCCUGAUGCAGCCAUGCCGCGUGUAUGAAGAAGGCCUUCGGGUUGUAAAGUACUUUCAGCGGGGAGGAAGGGAGUAAAGUUAAUACCUUUGCUCAUUGACGUUACCCGCAGAAGAAGCACCGGCUAACUCCGUGCCAGCAGCCGCGGUAAUACGGAGGGUGCAAGCGUUAAUCGGCAUUACUGGGCGUAAAGCGCACGCAGGCGGUUUGUUAAGUCAGAUGUGAAAUCCCCGGGCUCAACCUGGGAACGGCAUCUGAUACUGGCAAGCUUGAGUCUCGUAGAGGGGGGUAGAAUUCCAGGUGUAGCGGUGAAAUGCGUAGAGAUCUGGAGGAAUACCGGUGGCGAAGGCGGCCCCCUGGACAAAGACUGACGCUCAGGUGCGAAAGCGUGGGGAGCAAACAGG
rnacentral:rRNA from 1 species